rnacentral:lncRNA from 1 species
CAAUUAAACAAUCUACAGAACACAACAUAGAAAAACUAAAGACUGAGCAACACAAACCCAACAAAUACAGGGGAUGAUCGCAGGUGAUCAGGAAAGACAAGCAGAUCCUGUUCCACGCAUGGCACUUGUCGUGUUGCUGAUAUAACUAAAGUACAAAUCCAGUGAUGCGUAAACAUGUAAGUGAAGCAGUACCAAGAGUACCAUAUUCCUUCAUUAAAGUAAGAAUGUAUGUCUGAAGUCUAAAAAUUCUUUAAUGUCUUACAUCUUAA